CUACGGGAGGCACCAGUGGGGAAUCUUGGACAAUGGGCGCAAGCCUGAUCCAGCCAUGCCGCGUGAGUGAAGAAGGCCUUAGGGUCGUAAAGCUCUUUCGCCAGAGAUGAUAAUGACAGUAUCUGGUAAAGAAACCCCGGCUAACUCCGUGCCAGCAGCCGCGGUAAUACGGAGGGGGUUAGCGUUGUUCGGAAUUACUGGGCGUAAAGCGCGCGUAGGCGGAUUAGUCAGUCAGAGGUGAAAUCCCAGGGCUCAACCCUGGAACUGCCUUUGAUACUGCUAGUCUUGAGUUCGAGAGAGGUGAGUGGAAUUCCGAGUGUAGAGGUGAAAUUCGUAGAUAUUCGGAGGAACACCAGUGGCGAAGGCGGCUCACUGGCUCGAUACUGACGCUGAGGUGCGAAAGUGUGGGGAGCAAACAGGAUUAGAUACCCCAGUAGUC
rnacentral:rRNA from 1 species